rnacentral:lncRNA from 1 species
GCAAAUAAAUAAAUAAAUAGGUCUGGGGAUGUGCUUUGUAAGUUAGUGGUAAAGCACCCCUGGGUUCAAUCCCCAAUACCUGCCCCUAAAAGUACACACACACACACACACAUACACAAUUAGACCCCUGGAAUCUACUUGGAUUAUUUUUGUUAUGUGUGUAUGCAACAGAACAAACAUAUUAAAUGUGUCCAUAUGUAAACCAGGUGAAAACCCCCUUGCUCUCAGAGCCCUUUGGACAACCAUAAAAAUCAAAACAAAUUAACAAUCAAAUGCAAGCUACAGAGGCAAUUAAAAUCAGGUUAACAAAACUAACUUAAUGUGGCAAAACAUGUCAUUUGGACAAGAUUAAAUUACCACUCAAACUGCAAGUAGAGUGUGGCCUGCUAUGGCAACAGUGCUUUUGAUUUCAGCGUGACUAUAUAUAUAUAUGAGAGUAAAGCCUUCAGUUAUUCUUGGGAUUUAUCAUCAAACAUUUGGGUGUACAGUUUGAUUUUGUUACAUAGUAUAUUGCAGGGCCCCUAAUGAUCCAUAUUGUGUCUUUGUGCGAAUUAGAAAAGAGCCUCCCUCUCAGCAGAUGUGGCCUGUAGCCAGGGCUCAUGGUUGAGCCACUGGGUCCAGAUGGGACCUAAGCCCUAUUUGCCCCUUGGCUCAGUGCCCCGCUGCUAUGACAACCUGCACAACUGUACAUGGCAGAGCCAGUAUAUUAAAAAGUGAACAAAGCAAAUUUCCUCUUCUUCAUUUCAUUUUUUUUUAAGGAAAGAAAAUCAGUCUCUCAAAUUGAUUCAUUAGCUAAGUUAAACCUCUGUGUGGUGUCAUAUUUACUCCACUUAAUUAAAGCAGUUGCAUUGGGAGAUGCUCCUUGCAGUUUCCCUGGGGUUACUAUUCUUGGUGGCCUCUUAUUAAAUAAAAGACACCUUCGACCCAUGAGUUUCUUUUCCACUUAUUUCCCCUAAUUUCUUUGCAUUCUUC